GCUACUUAAAGCGAGGUUGUCCUCUGUGUAUCUGGUCAUUUGUGCAGAAUAUACAAGGACAAGCUCUCUGUGAGUAUC
rnacentral:pre_miRNA from 1 species